CUAUCAUGCAGUCGAGCGAUGGAUUAAGAGCUUGCUCUUAUGAAGUUAGCGGCGGACGGGUGAGUAACACGUGGGUAACCUGCCCAUAAGACUGGGAUAACUCCGGGAAACCGGGGCUAAUACCGGAUAACAUUUUGAACUGCAUGGUUCGAAAUUGAAAGGCGGCUUCGGCUGUCACUUAUGGAUGGACCCGCGUCGCAUUAGCUAGUUGGUGAGGUAACGGCUCACCAAGGCAACGAUGCGUAGCCGACCUGAGAGGGUGAUCGGCCACACUGGGACUGAGACACGGCCCAGACUCCUACGGGAGGCAGCAGUAGGGAAUCUUCCGCAAUGGACGAAAGUCUGACGGAGCAACGCCGCGUGAGUGAUGAAGGCUUUCGGGUCGUAAAACUCUGUUGUUAGGGAAGAACAAGUGCUAGUUGAAUAAGCUGGCACCUUGACGGUACCUAACCAGAAAGCCACGGCUAACUACGUGCCAGCAGCCGCGGUAAUACGUAGGUGGCAAGCGUUAUCCGGAAUUAUUGGGCGUAAAGCGCGCGCAGGUGGUUUCUUAAGUCUGAUGUGAAAGCCCACGGCUCAACCGUGGAGGGUCAUUGGAAACUGGGAGACUUGAGUGCAGAAGAGGAAAGUGGAAUUCCAUGUGUAGCGGUGAAAUGCGUAGAGAUAUGGAGGAACACCAGUGGCGAAGGCGACUUUCUGGUCUGUAAACUGACACUGAGGCGCGAAAGC
rnacentral:rRNA from 1 species